rnacentral:lncRNA from 1 species
CGGCAUAUGGUCUAUUCAUCUUCAAUGGAGAAGCAAUAUCUAGAAAUCGCUACAAGUUUCUUUUCAAAGAACUAGUUGCUAUGGUUAUCCAUAGUGCAAAGAAGAUAUAUUUUCCCCUGGAUCAAGGAAUGGAUAGAGAACUUUGUGUAAUUUUCUUCAUCUUCUUUGUAUCUUUUUUUUUUGUUUCUUGAAUGUUUUAUUUCAAAGAACAGUAAAUACUGUUGUUCAAGUAAAAUUAUGCAACCUAGAGUUAAAUGGUUACUAUUCUUGAUAUGUCCCAUUGUUAGAAAAAAAUGUAAUACAUUUUAGCAUAUACAAUUAUUAUCGUUGUAUUUUUCUAAGCUAGAAAGUGCUCAUUUUAUAGUUUGAAACAAGAUCCAGGUUUUGCUGGUAUGCUCUGUGUCUGUCUAUGACUAACAUCAUCUACUACUGAAAAAUAUUACUUUCUGAAUCUCAAAAGUCUUGAUGUUUUCGUAUUUCUAGAAUAGAUUAGUGAUCAACCAAAACUACCCAUAUAUAUAC